AGUGAACGCUGGCGGUAGGCCUAACACAUGCAAGUCGAACGGCAGCACAGUAAGAGCUUGCUCUUACGGGUGGCGAGUGGCGGACGGGUGAGGAAUACAUCGGAAGCUACUUUUUCGUGGGGAUAACGUAGGGAAACUUACGCUAAUACCGCAUACGACCUACGGGUGAAAGCAGGGGAUCUUCGGACCUUGCGCGAUUGAAUGAGCCGAUGUCGGAUUAGCUAGUUGGCGGGGUAAAGGCCCACCAAGGCGACGAUCCGUAGCUGGUCUGAGAGGAUGAUCAGCCACACUGGAACUGAGACACGGUCCAGACUCCUACGGGAGGCAGCAGUGGGGAAUAUUGGACAAUGGGCGCAAGCCUGAUCCAGCCAUACUGCGUGGGUGAAGAAGGCCUUCGGGUUGUAAAGCCCUUUUGUUGGGAAAGAAAAGCAGCAGGUUAAUACCCCGCUGUUCUGACGGUACCCAAAGAAUAAGCACCGGCUAACUUCGUG
rnacentral:rRNA from 1 species